CACACGACUCUCGGCAACGGAUAUCUCGGCUCUCGCAUCGAUGAAGAACGUAGCGAAAUGCGAUACCUGGUGUGAAUUGCAGAAUCCCGCGAACCAUCGAGUCUUUGAACGCAAGUUGCGCCCGAGGCCACUCGGCCGAGGGCACGCCUGCCUGUGCGUCACGC
rnacentral:rRNA from 1 species